rnacentral:tRNA from 2 species
GCCCUCGUAGCUCAGCGGAUAGAGCAUCGGCCUCCGGAGCCGGGUGCGCAGGUUCGAGUCCUGCCGAGGGCG